CGCUGGCGGCAUGCCUUACACAUGCAAGUCGAACGGCAGCGCGGGGCAACCUGGCGGCGAGUGGCGAACGGGUGAGUAAUAUAUCGGAACGUACCCUGGAGUGGGGGAUAACGUAGCGAAAGUUACGCUAAUACCGCAUACGAUCUAAGGAUGAAAGUGGGGGAUGCGCAAGCACCUCAUGCUCCUGGAGCGGCCGAUAUCUGAUUAGCUAGUUGGUGGGGUAAAGGCCUACCAAGGCAUCGAUCAGUAGCUGGUCUGAGAGGACGACCAGCCACACUGGAACUGAGACACGGUCCAGACUCCUACGGGAGGCAGCAGUGGGGAAUUUUGGACAAUGGGCGAAAGCCUGAUCCAGCAAUGCCGCGUGAGUGAAGAAGGCCUUCGGGUUGUAAAGCUCUUUUGUCAGGGAAGAAACGGUGGAGGCUAAUAUCCUCUGCUAAUGACGGUACCUGAAGAAUAAGCACCGGCUAACUACGUGCCAGCAGCCGCGGUAAUACGUAGGGUGCAAGCGUUAAUCGGAAUUACUGGGCGUAAAGCGUGCGCAGGCGGUUUUGUAAGUCUGUCGUGAAAUCCCCGGGCUCAACCUGGGAAUUGCGAUGGAGACUGCAAGGCUAGAAUCUGGCAGAGGGGGGUAGAAUUCCACGUGUAGCAGUGAAAUGCGUAGAGAUGUGGAGGAACACCGAUGGCGAAGGCAGCCCCCUGGGUC
rnacentral:rRNA from 1 species